AGAAUUUAUUGUAGAGGAUGGAGAUGGGCAUGCCAUUCAGGAUUAUUCCAAAAGCAAUGCAGAGGAAAGCAAACAGGCGUCCAAGGAAGAAAUGAUCCAGGACUUGCAAGUUUUUAGAUAAAAUCCACUUUAAUAAUUACAUACCUACAAGGAACUGUAGCCUCAAAGUUUUUGCUUGCAGCGUAUGGUUGCAAAAUAUAUAGUUAUAGUGUUAAAUAAGUACACCGCUGGGUAAUUUUUGCUGAAUUUCCUUUUGAAGAUGGAUUUAGAGGUUGUUUAAAAUGUUUAAGCUUUGGUUGUUGUAUUUGGAGGGUUUUAUUUGUUUUGUUUUGUUUUGUUUUGGGUUUCUUUUGGUUUGAUUUUAUUUUUUCUGAGAAUGAUGGUGUUUAGUGUAUUUGUUUUCUAUACAUCUGAACACUUUGCCAGCUCAUUGUGCACAUGCCUUCACAUUUUUCUUCUCAGCCAAUAUAAUUUUCUCUUUCUAGCCUGUGGAUAUAUGAAGGCACUGUGUUAUGGGUCCAGUGCUACAUCAACUACUGAAAUAUUUCCAUUGUAAAAUUCAGAUAAAAAAUAAAUUGAUGUUUGAUUAUGGAUAUACUACAUUUGAAAGAUAUACUCUCAAACAGUCAACAUAACUCCUAAUUUGUUUAGUUUCAUUGUACACAUCUUAAUGUGUUAUAAUUUUUACACUUAGUAAAUAUAACUUUUUUUCUGACAGGUAAAACUUGCAUGUUUCUGUCACCUCUCACUUUCUAGUCUGUGAAAGAGAUCCUUUUUAGCCAGUUAAUUGUAUUCAAUAUUUUUCACAAUGUCUGUGUGUAUCUGUUAAACAGUAACUUAAAACUCUGACCAAAAAAAAGCCACAGAUAGUAGGACUUUCACUGAAAAUAAGUCUUCAGAAGGUCACUGUGUAGAGUUUACCACCCUCUAAAAUGGUAAAUAGAAUCAUAUUUUAAAGGAAGAAAGCAUUAGAAUACAUGAGACAGCACUGGGUGAGCACAUUUUUAGGAUGCACCUGGUGCUUCCUGUGGAAUAAAAAGGAUUAGUGAUUCGGUUUAAUGGAAAUUAAGUCACUGGAUUUGAAUGAUAAUACAGGAUAAAUAUCUCCAAAAAUAAAUACUGAGAUGAAGGCAAGAUGUUUAUCUCUACCAGCCAGGACAAAAAUGUUAUCCUGUGAUAAGGUUCUGUACGACUGGCAUAGUCUUAUUCAUUGUCUGUAACAAUUUAGGAGGGAUGUUUCUUCUGCAUGUGUGAGAUGGUGAAUACUGUUGAAUUUUUAUAAAAUUUGAAUGAUCUAGGUGUUUUAAUUUACAGUCUUAAAGAACAAAUAGGCUUUUAAAAAAUGUUUUAUGCUUUGGAAUUGCAAUGUGCAUGAUACAGCUUCUGUUUUGAAGACAGAAUUGCUCAUCUAAAUAGGUCUUUUUCACCUAGCCAUGUAAGUUUAUUAGGAAUAUCUAAAUGAUUAUGGUGUCACCGGUUUACAAAAAUGAGUCCUGAAGACUGCAUAUAACCUGUUCAGAAAACAAAAUAUAUUUUAGCAAUGUGUGAA